GUCUUUAGCGCAGCACCAGAGGGACUAUUUACCUCCCUUGCCUUCUGGUACGCCUGCCUCAGCUCCUUUACCUUCGUGCACACUGAUGCAUGUCCAUUUGUAGCUCUUAUCCAACACGCCAGAAGAAAUCUGACCAAAACAUAAAUGAAGAAAAGGCUCUAUUUCAACAGUCACUUGAAUGGCUCUGAGUCGGGGCCCCCACCCUUCUCUUCUAACAAAGAUCUAGAGGCCAAGUAACGGGGCACUUGAUUACUCCGGUGGAAACAGAUAGUUGCCCUAUAUCUGCCUAUCCUUUUAUAGUGCCAGUGGUCUGGUGUGCAUGCUCUCAGGUUGAGGCCAGCAUAAUCAUUUUCCACCAUUGCUAAUAUUGGUACAGCUCCAUCAAUAGACAAGGUGCCAGCAGCUGCCAACAUCACUUUCUCAACUAACCAUUCCCAGAGUAGGUCUAAAUGGCAUACUGAAACUCCCAUUGACUUGAAGGGGAGCAGAGCAUGCCCAAUGCUAAGCACUUUUCAAAAUUCCACCUUCAAAAAGGUGACAAAUCCAGAUGGAAACAUGGGUAUUGUGUUUUU